rnacentral:lncRNA from 1 species
AACAAGAGAGCACUGGGAGAAGAGCCAAUGAAAUGUAUGGAGUGGACGAUAUGUUGAAUGAGGGGACUGGAGGAACAAGUAUCACCUUGCGGUUCGGGAGAGUUAGAGGCUAAUGGCAGGCUUGUGGACGACUGCGGGAAGGACACGUGGAAAAAUCUUUUUGUUGGAUAGAAGAAAUACUGCCCCUAAAAUGGCAUUCCUGAGAAAUGGAAACAGUGCACGCAACACAUCACUUGGACAGAGAGAAGGCGUCACCAGAAAAUUAUGCUCUGUGUGCUGCAGGACUGAAGAUUUCCAAAGAACUGGAAAGCCUGGGCUUGGCAGCUCUACUUGGCAUUGAACCCAAGAGCAGAGAAGAAGGAGAUUACGCAAUGGUUGUAAGCCUAAGAUACUAUGCUUACUGCCAGAGCUAAUAAUGCUAAGCAAGAUAACUCUCAAGUUGGGAAAGCAACCUAUCUUGUUUCUUGAUUCAAUAAAUAUUUACUAUUGAUCUAAUAUGUGUCC